rnacentral:rRNA from 1 species
UACGGGGGGGCAAGCGUUGUUCGGAAUUACUGGGCGUAAAGGGCUCGUAGGUGGCCAACUAAGUCAGACGUGAAAUCCCUCGGCUUAACCGGGGAACUGCGUCUGAUACUGGAUGGCUAGAGUUUGGGAGAGGGAUGCGGAAUUCCAGGUGUAGCGGUGAAAUGACGUAGAUAUCUGGAGGAACACCGGUGGCGAAGGCGGCAUCCUGGACCAACACUGACGCUGAGGAGCGAAAGCCAGGG